rnacentral:rRNA from 1 species
AACGAACGCUGGCGGCGUGCCUAACACAUGCAAGUCGCGCGAGAAAGUGGGGGCGAACUCCAUGAGUAAAGACGGCGCACGGGUGAGUAAUACGUAGGUAACCUGCCCUCGAGACCGGGAUAACCUUCCGAAAGGAGGGCUAAUACCGGAUAAGACCACGAAGUUUCGGCUUCGGGGUCAAAGGUGGCCUCUGCAUGCAAGCUAUCACUCGAAGAUGGGCCUGCGCACCAUUAGCUAGUUGGCGAGGUAACGGCUCACCAAGGCGAAGAUGGUUAGCUGGUCUGAGAGGAUGACCAGCCACACUGGGACUGAGACACGGCCCAGACUCCUAC